rnacentral:rRNA from 1 species
UACAGAGGGUGCGAGCGUUAAUCGGAAUUACUGGGCGUAAAGCGCACGUAGGCGGCUUGGUAUGUCGGGUGUGAAAUCCCCGGGCUCAACCUGGGAACUGCAUCCGAAACUGCCUUGCUCGAGUAUGGGAGAGGGAAGUGGAAUUUCCGGUGUAGCGGUGAAAUGCGUAGAUAUCGGAAGGAACAUCAGUGGCGAAGGCGACUUCCCGGACCAAUACUGACGCUCAGGUGCGAAAGCGUGGGGAGCAAACAGG